CGAAAGCAGUACACAGAAAGAUACAGAGUUUUUUUCUUCAAAGAAAUCUGCUUAGACAUGGGUGGCAAAAUUGGAGGGAAUGUGGAGGCCAUUGGAGACGUUGAAUGAUAUUCAGACUCACCUUUAAGCACUAAGAGAUCCCGGGAGUGUGGAGGAGGUUAUUUAUAGGCUGAUGCUCAUGAUACAACAGCUGAAUGCUCAGCGCACGUUUUAUAAAAGAUGUUACAUUUCAUGCUUUUCAAAGUAUAGGAGCUCUGCAACUUAACCCCCAAAAAAUAUGCAGGUAGACAUAAGCUCAAAUGUUGAUUUCAGCCAAGUGGAAUUUUUUGAUGCACCAAUGAGCCUGCUGGAUGCGAUGCUACAUAUAUGGACUCUUUCUCAGGUUUAAAUUAAUGUAUAGCCAUGUGGAUGCACGAUUCCAAUGAGACACAUAUUUUUCAUGUGUUUAGUGGCAGUAGACAUUUUUAGGAAUUUAAGCAAUUGCAUGACAAUUAGAAACCUGCUAAGAUGUAUGAUGUGAAAGUAAAUGAAAUGUUCACAUUCAAGCUUAUUCGUAUGAAAACUGGAUGGCAAUGUACAAGUGCUUUAUUGGUAAAAUAUAUGGUGUUUGAUUUA